rnacentral:lncRNA from 1 species
AGAAAAUUGGACCGAGGUAUAUUGAAAACGGGGGUGAACUGUUAAUUUAGAACCGAAAAGUCAUUGUACAAAGAGUCUACAUGUUGAAUAUUUGAUCGGUUAAUUGAUUAUAUAUUCUAUUUUUUUUAUAAUGUGAAACUGAACAUCAACUAAUACUGUUCUGUUCUAAAUCUGAUCAAUUCCCCCUCUUUCGCACAACGGUCUAUUCAGGAUCUAAGGCUCAUGAUGCAAAGGGAUUCAAUAAGCUGGUAGGUGCUGGCCAACGCAAGGUUUUCAGCUCCACUCUACAGCGAAUGAGCACGGAAAUAUACCGCAGCUUCCUCAUUCAUUUGAAGUGUUUACGCUCAGAUCAGAAAGAUUCUCAGACUUGGCCAGGAACAAAGGAGCAGCGGCAAGGCUUUUCCCCAUAAUCCUCUAGUGCUCCCUCCCAGCUGGCCGAGCCUGACGGGUGUGCUGACACUGACUGGAUCUGAGUGCUCUCUUUUUCCACCGUGCAGGAUCUGGCUGUGUGGAGGAAGCGGGGGCUAAUUAAUGAGCUGUGAGUAUGAGGCCUCACUGCUGACAGCCAGUGGAGACAGGAUUAAUAGUCCGGUCAUCUGGCUUGAUGUGUGUGCCUCCAGGCUGCCCCUUGACGAGAGUCCACUGCGGAAUCCACUACGGCGG